rnacentral:rRNA from 1 species
UACGUAGGUGGCAAGCGUUGUCCGGAUUUACUGGGCGUAAAGAGCGCGCAGGCGGUCAGGUAGGUCUGCUGUGAAAACUCGAGGCUUAACCUCGAGCUGUCGGCGGAAACCAUCUGGCUAGAGUCCGGAAGAGGAGAAUGGAAUUCCCGGUGUAGCGGUGAAAUGCGCAGAUAUCGGGAAGAACACCCGUGGCGAAGGCGGUUCUCUGGGACGGUACUGACGCUGAGACGCGAAAGCGUGGGGAGCGAACAGG